GAUGAACGCUGGCGGCGUGCCUAAUACAUGCAAGUCGAGCGAACGGACGAGAAGCUUGCUUCUCUGAUGUUAGCGGCGGACGGGUGAGUAACACGUGGAUAACCUACCUAUAAGACUGGGAUCACUUCGGGAAACCGGAGCUAAUACCGGAUGAUAUUUUGAACCGCAUGGUUCAAAAGUGAAAGACGGUCUUGCUGUCACUUAUAGAUGGAUCCGCGCUGCAUUAGCUAGUUGGUAAGGUAACGGCUUACCAAGGCAACGAUGCAUAGCCGACCUGAGAGGAUGAUCAGCCACACUGGAACUGAGACACGGUCCAGACUCCUACGGGAGGCAGCAGUAGGGAAUCUUCCGCAAUGGGCGAAAGCCUGACGGAGCAACGCCGCGUGAGUGAUGAAGGUCUUCGGAUCGUAAAGCUCUGUUAGUAGGGAAGAACAGAUGUGUAAGAAACUGUGCACAUCUUGACGGUACCUAAUCAGAAAGCCACGGCUAACUACGUG
rnacentral:rRNA from 1 species